rnacentral:rRNA from 1 species
UACAGAGGUCUCAAGCGUUGUUCGGAAUCACUGGGCGUAAAGGGUGCGUAGGCGGUGCGGCAAGUCAGAUGUGAAAUCCCGGGGCUCAACCUCGGGCGUGCAUCCGAUACUGCUCGGCUAGAGGUAGGUAGGGGAGAUCGGAAUUCCUGGUGUAGCGGUGAAAUGCGCAGAUAUCAGGAGGAACACCGGUGGCGAAGGCGGAUCUCUGGGCCUUACCUGACGCUCAGGCGCGAAAGCUAGGGGAGCGAACUGG